UUUAAGUGUAAUUGUAAGUUUCGGUGCCUAACUUUAAUCGUUCGUCUUAUUUGAAUUUAUUUGAAAUUAAUAUUUUUAUUGUUAUGAGAUGAUGAAAUAUGUGAUUUAUGUUUUUCAAAUUUUUCAAUUUUUUAAAAUAAGACGGACGGUUAGAGUUGUGCACAGAGAAUCAUGGAUGUACUUAAA
rfam:Oryza meridionalis cultivar OR44 (W2112) chromosome 11, whole genome shotgun sequence.